CUGAACUCUGACAGAGACAGGGGUAUUGACAUUCAUUGACAUUUCUGUUAUGUGAACAUUGAAAAAUUUUCACAAAAUCUUUAUCAAGUGUUUUUGGGAAAAAGAAAACAUUGUUUAAAGUCCGUUUUUAUUGUUUUUCAUUGCAAUUUUUAUGUCAUUUUUCAUUUGACAAACUUUUCAUUAUGCAUUAAAUGCAGCCUUCUGAUAGAAGCCCCCCUCUAUUUAACGCUGCAUUCAAAAUUGGAUUUUGUAAUAAACACUGCCAUGUUUUUUAGAGGAAAUACGGUACAUAGACAUUGAGGUUCUAGCAGGAAAACUCUCUAAAAUUGUAAUAAAAGGGCUCUAAAGGCAUUAACUGAAAAACUGGUAGUAAAAAUAAGAUUGCUAACAAAUCAGAACAUCAGAUCAAUUCUAUGCAAAAAAAUGCCGAGUUUGUUGCAGCCUGCAGUUAUAGUACAUGAAGGCAACGUAAACAUAAUUAGAUGGGAAUUUUGCAUUUGCGAAUGCAGACAAAGGCUCCCUGUCCCUCUAUUAUUACUGUUCAGGUCCAAUGGACUUUAUACACUUAUAUUGCAGAAGCCUUCUUUAAAAACACUAUUGAUAGCCAGAAUUUCAUUGAUUUUAUUGAUAAUAAUAAUUCUAAUACAAUGCUUGGUAUUCUUGCAUUAAAAUGUGGCACAGAUGGGCAUGCUACCUUCAGAGGAUGUGUGGGCAUCUACAGAAUUUGUUACAAUAGGAUGCUAAAUCUACUGGAAACAAUUCAAGCAGAAGUAUAGAUGAUUAAAAAAGUAUGUAGCAUCCUACACGAAUUCAUAAAUUGCUGCUGACAAAGGACUUUUUAUUGUAAACUAGAAUGACUAAGAAUUGAUUUAGAUAACAAGCAGAGUCAAUAAUUCUUCAUCACUUGCCUUUGGACAUUAGCAGGGACAUCAUCUUAAAGUGAAAAUCUGUCACUCAAAAAGUUGCUGGUAAACAUAGAAAACAUGCCUAAAUUAAUUUUCCUUGUUUUCUAAGUGCAUUAUGCUGUUUUAUUUUGGCUUUCCUUAGUUUUCGCCAAUAUCUCUUGUCAUCCAUUGAGAGAUCUUCUAAAUUUAUUUUUUCUGUAUCUAAUUUCCACAACCAUUCGGGAUAGUCUGAAUCUGGCUUUAAGGCUGGGUCCUGGCCCUCUUUAUAGAUGUUAGCACCAUUGCAAACCUCUUGUGGAUGAUCUG